UACGAAGGGGGCUAGCGUUGUUCGGAAUUACUGGGCGUAAAGCGUGCGCAGGCGGCUUCUCAAGUCAGGGGUGAAGGCCCAGAGCUCAACUCUGGAAUUGCCUUUGAGACUGAGUGGCUUGAGUACGAGAGAGGUGAGUGGAAUUCCCAGUGUAGAGGUGAAAUUCGUAGAUAUUGGGAAGAACACCGGUGGCGAAGGCGGCUCACUGGCUCGUAACUGACGCUCAUGCACGACAGCGUGGGGAUCAAACAGG
rnacentral:rRNA from 1 species